GCCACACAGAUUUAGUCAUGGUGUCCCCAUCCAGCUACAUUCAAAGGGAGUUUUGUUUUUUUUCUGUAGAGAAUAAGAGACACCUUCCCAGACCACCUGGGACCCUUACAAGGACCUGGGACAGGUGUCCUGUGCUAGCUGCAAGGAGCCAGCUCUUCCAGGAGAGGCCUCGGUGGACGAGAAUAGCUAUGAGUUGGCCAGCAACAGUGUCAUUCAGAGAUAGAGAAACUCUCAGGAUUGCUCACCGUCUCCUUCCCUGGAGUGCCAGCCAGCAUGGUUCAGCCGCAGAAGAGAGAAAUCAAAAUACGUGGAUUCAAAAAUUUUAAAUCACUAUCCCUGUGAGUUCUGCAAUGCAUAGUGUGCUACCCUGGGACCUGCUGGCCUGUGAGGGUAUGACCAGCAGCCUGCAUCCACCUAGGGGAACUUAGGGGAGCAACCUCCAGAUCUGCACAGUUGGGAGAGCAGGCAAAUGACAAACCAUGAAGCAAAGACGCACACUUUGGGAGGAGUGGAUGCUGGAAGAGGACUUCAGACACUGGCUCCUCAGAGCCAUGCUGAAACAGAGAAGAAUGGGUGAAUGUGGCUGGAAGAUAGAAGAGGCACCUGCUGGAGUUUAAAGCAUUUGCCAUCCCGAGUUUACUACGUGACACUCCGUUUUUCUUUGGACGUUUUAAGGUUGCACUUGCAAAAAGUAAUGGCAGGAUACAUCCAUGUAAUCAGUGCCAAAGGACACCCAGGAACUGGAGAAACUGCCGCGUCUUUGUUCUAUUUUCUUUUUUCCACGCAUUGACAAAAUUUUAAAACUCAUAUUAAAUAAUGUGGACCUUGACUGUACAGUGACUGCAUAAAUAUCAAAGCUAAACCACCAACAUCCCAGCUCCUAACACCAAGAAAAUUGUGCAUCUCCAUUUUGACCAAUGUGUGCUUACAAGGAAAAAAUGUUCUCACUGAAGUCAGAAUAUACUAGAGAAGAUAUUGGGGGUAUUCAAGAAUGUGACCAAAUAGUCGCUAUAGCUUAAGUAUUAUCCUCUGUGUAGUAACAAAGUCAAAACCAGGUGUCUAGGUGCAUGUGUGUGUGCAGAGAGGAGAGACAGAGAUUACACACUGGAACACACAUCUGCACCCUUCUAUUUCCCUCAGAGCAAUGUGAUGGCAUGUUCAUCUGAACAAAUUAAUAUUUCUACUAUAAUUGAUUUGUUUGGUGGAAACACCAAGUUCACCUGCUAGUGGUGACUAAAAAGAUGGAAAGACUUGAAGGAAGAGCAAAGGGUGAGAUUGCAUGUGCGGCAUCUAAGGGGCAUCUACACUGGAGCCAGCAGACCUGGCUCAGAACCCAAACUUUCAUUCAUUGCUCAAAUCACGCACCUAUCUAAAAGAAAAAGGAUAAGAGUCAGCAUUUUGCUCAUUCACAGGCUCAUUCACAUGCUGGCACGCAGUAAGCACACCAGAAAUGGUAGCUAUUAUUUUGUAAAGAGGGUAAGUUAUGUGGAAAAGCUAUGUGAAAAAUAAGGCAUCGUAUAAGCAAAUAGCAGGGUGUGACCAACAUCAAAGCAGGAGGUGAGAAGGAAAAGACUUCCCAGGAAGAUGCAAGUGCCACUCCAUCUGAGUGUCGGGGACAAAUCAAGAAAUGUAAAGAUGUUCCGUUAUGCAUCAUAUUUUGGCCCCCUUCUGUUGCCAUCCCAGGUCACUUUUGAUUAAACUUGGUUCAGAUUUUCUUGCAAAAGUAUCUAAGGUCUUCAAGCAUUGCUUGGCUCAGCAUCCAUACUUGGGCUAGUUAGUGUCCAGGUACUUGAGACCUUCUGCUAACCAGCUUCUCCACACCACUUUGGCAAGAUUGAGGCUUUGUGGGCCAUCUCCCUACAUACAUUACAAACUACAAAUGGAGGUUUUAUUUUUUAGUUUCUGCCAAUCACACACAAAACAUUUAAUACAUAUUCGUGUAAAGGAUGAUGCAGUGAAUGACAAGGGCUUACUACAUCACAAACACAAAAUUAAUUACUUUUUCCUUGAAUCACAGUAGCAUAUAUAGAAACUCAUAGGCUGGGCGUGGUGGCUCACGCCUGUAAUCCCAGCACUUUGAGAGGCCAAGGUGGGCGGAUCACCUGGGGUCAGGAGUUUGAGACCAGUAUGGCCAACUUGGUGAAACCCCACCUCUACUAAAAAUACAAAAAUUAGCCGGGCAUCCCAGCUACUUGGGAGGCUGAGGCAGGAAAAUUGCUUGAACCUGAGAGGGGGAAGUUGCAGUGAGCCAAGAUCAUGCCAUUGCACUCCAGCCUGGGCGACAGAGCAAGACUCCAU
rnacentral:lncRNA from 1 species